CGCAUUUUUUCUUAUUGACGUAUUGGUGUAUUAUACAGCAGUGGAAGAGGUGCGUUAAAUUUCCCCGGAAAAUCUUCUGUAAGAGGACGACCUUUCAGCUUCAAUGAUAUUGCUUCACCAGAUCUGAAAUAUGAUCUAUUAACAGUCAGAGAAUCUGGUUCUUCGCGGACCAACAGAAGUUUGACAGACGCAAAAAUUACAUUCAUGGGUGCUCUAAACAAUGCCGUCAGUGGAAGAAACUUGAAAGAAAUCUCCCUGCUGCAUUCUGUACACAUGAAAGAGAGGGCCUGAAAGGGGGGAGUGUUUGGUACCUGGUACUGGAGUGGCUGUGUAUUGCCACAUGCUUCGGCUCUGCUCAGCACGACUCCAGCUUGCUGUUUGUCAGGCAGUGCAAGGAAAACAAUACACUGGAAUGGAACACAGUGGUUGCCUUGGCUUGUCAUAUUUAAAACAUGACCAAUUGGAAUAUGAACUUAAGCUACGAUGGCUGCCAAUCAAGGGUGGCAUCGCGGAUAUGGCAGCCAUGUUAUGUGCAGCAUUGAAUGGUCCUGUUAAUUAAU